CACGUAGGCACCAAGCGUUGUCCGGAUUUAUUGGGCGUAAAGAGCUCGUAGGCGGUUCGAUAAGUCGGGUGUGAAAACUUUGGGCUCAACCCAAAGCGUGCAUUCGAUACUGUUGUGACUAGAGUUCGGUAGGGGAGACUGGAAUUCCUGGUGUAGCGGUGAAAUGCGCAGAUAUCAGGAGGAACACCGGUGGCGAAGGCGGGUCUCUGGGCCAUUACUGACGCUGAGGAGCGAAAGCGUGGGGAGCGAACAGG
rnacentral:rRNA from 1 species